rnacentral:rRNA from 1 species
UAGGGAAUCUUCGGCAAUGGACGAAAGUCUGACCGAGCAACGCCGCGUGAGUGAAGAAGGUUUUCGGAUCGUAAAACUCUGUUGUUAGAGAAGAACAAGGACGUUAGUAACUGAACGUCCCCUGACGGUAUCUAACCAGAAAGCCACGGCUAACUACGUGCCAGCAGCCGCGGUAAUACGUAGGUGGCAAGCGUUGUCCGGAUUUAUUGGGCGUAAAGCGAGCGCAGGCGGUUUCUUAAGUCUGAUGUGAAAGCCCCCGGCUCAACCGGGGAGGGUCAUUGGAAACGGGGAGACUUGAGAGCAGAAGAGGAGAGUGGAAUUCCAUGUGUCGCGGUGAAAUGCGUAGAUAUAUGGAGGAACACCAGUGGCGAAGGCGGCUCUCUGGUCUGUAACUGACGCUGAGGCUCGAAAGCGUGGGGAGCAAACAGG